AUUGAACGCUGGCGGCAUGCCUUACACAUGCAAGUCGAGCGGAGCGGCGGACGGGUGAGUAAUGCCUAGGAAUCUGCCCGGUAGCGGGGGAUAACGUCCGGAAACGGGAGCUAAUACCGCAUACUAUCAGAUCAGCCUAUGUCGGAUUAGCUAGUUGGUGGGGUAACGGCCUACCAAGGCGACGAUCCGUAACUGGUCUGAGAGGACGACCAGCCACACUGGAACUGAGACACGGUCCAGACUCCUACGGGAGGCAGCAGUGGGGAAUAUUGGACAAUGGGCGAAAGCCUGAUCCAGCCAUGCCGCGUGUGGGAAGAAGGUCUUCGGAUUGUAAAGCACUUUAAGUUGGGAGGCGGUACCAGCAGAAUAAGCACCGGCUAACUCCGUGCCAGCAGCCGCGGUAAUUC
rnacentral:rRNA from 1 species